GCCUCGGAGGUAUUUUCAGAGGUUGUCAACGAAUGAUGCCAAAAUAUGCCUCCUCCCCCCCGUCAUAUUACGCACAGUUGUGAAUGAUGAAAUGUGUUUACUGGCUCGGGGGAAUCAUUCAGAGGAGAUAUUUGUGAUGGUGUAGUUAGCAUCGUAGCUAGUUAGCAUC